rnacentral:rRNA from 1 species
UACGUAGGCGGAAGAUUAAGUCAGUGGUGAAAUCCUGCAGCUUAACUGUAGAACUGUCAUUGAUACUGAUUUUCUUGAAUAUAGUUGAGGUAGGCGGAAUGUGUAAUGUAGCGGUGAAAUGCUUAGAUAUUACACAGAACACCGAUUGCGAAGGCAGCUUACUAAGCUAUUAUUGACGCUGAGGCACGAAAGCGUGGGGAGCGAACAGGAUUAGAUACCCUGGUAGUCC